rnacentral:misc_RNA from 1 species
GUAGGUGAACCUGCGGAAGGAUCAUUACCAAGAUUCUUUUUUUUUUUCCCUUUCUUUCUUUCUUUUUGUUGUACCUUCACUGGUGCAACAGAAAGAAAAAAAAAAGAGGGGAGAAAAUAAACAACCAGUUAACCUGUGCAACUGCCUUUUUUUUUCUCCACGCGUCUGUUCUCUUUGUCAAUUCUUUGGAAAAGAGAAGGAGAGCUUGCGCUGGUUAAAAACCAAAAAAAAAACCUGUGAACCCUCCGGG